rnacentral:rRNA from 1 species
AUGAACGCUAGCGACAGGCCUAACACAUGCAAGUCAGGGGCAGCACAAGGAGCAAUCUGAGGUGGCGACCGGCGCACGGGUGAGUAACACGUAUGCAACCCGCCUGUAAGCGGGGAAUAGCCCGUUGAAAGACGGACUAAUACCGCAUAAUACUAAAUUACUGCAUGGUAAUUUAUUUAAACAUUUAUGGCUUACAGAUGGGCAUGCGCAUGAUUAGCUAGUUGGAGAGGUAACGGCUCCCCAAGGCAACGAUCAUUAGGGGUUCUGAGAGGAAGGUCCCCCCACACUGGUACUGAGACACGGACCAGACUCCUACGGGAGGCAGCAGUGAGGAAUAUUGGUCAAUGGACGAGAGUCUGAACCAGCCAAGUCGCGUGCAGGAAGAAUUGUCCUAUGGAUUGUAAACUGCUUUUGCAGGGGAAUAAAGUGCAUCACGUGUGAUGUUUUGUAUGUACUCUGCGAAUAAGGAUCGGCUAACUCCGUGCCAGCCGCCGC